rnacentral:rRNA from 1 species
GACGAACCGUGCAAACGUUAUUCGGAAUCACUGGGCUUAAAGGGCGCGUAGGCGGACAGGUAAGUCAGGGGUGAAAGCCCACGGCUCAACCGUGGAAGGGCCUUUGAUACUGCCUGUCUUGAGGGAGGUAGGGGCGUGCGGAACUUCCGGUGGAGCGGUGAAAUGCGUAGAUAUCGGAAGGAACACCGGUGGCGAAAGCGGCGCGCUGGAUCUCUACUGACGCUGGGGCGCGAAAGCCGGGGGAGCAAACGGG